rnacentral:rRNA from 1 species
UACGGAGGAUCCGAGCGUUAUCCGGAUUUAUUGGGUUUAAAGGGUGCGUAGGCGGUUUGAUAAGUUAGAGGUGAAAUGUCGGGGCUCAACCCCGAAACUGCCUCUAAUACUGUUGGACUAGAGGAUAGUUGCGGUAGGCGGAAUGUAUGGUGUAGCGGUGAAAUGCUUAGAGAUCAUACAGAACACCGAUUGCGAAGGCAGCUUACCAAACUAUAUCUGACGUUGAGGCACGAAAGCGUGGGUAGCAAACAGG